rnacentral:rRNA from 1 species
UCUUCCCUCUUUCUUCGUGCCUAAUACAUGCAAGUCGAGCGAACGGACGAGAAGCUUGCUUUUCUGAUGUUAGCGGCGGACGGGUGAGUAACACGUGGAUAACCUACCUAUAAGACUGGGAUAACUUCGGGAAACCGGAGCUAAUACCGGAUAAUAUUUUGAACCGCAUGGUUCAAAAGUGAAAGACGGUCUUGCUGUCACUUAUAGAUGGAUCCGCGCUGCAUUAGCUAGUUGGUAAGGUAACGGCUUACCAAGGCAACGAUGCAUAGCCGACCUGAGAGGGUGAUCGGCCACACUGGAACUGAGACACGGUCCAGACUCCUACGGGAGGCAGCAGUAGGGAAUCUUACGCAAUGGGCGAAAGCCUGACGGAGCAACGCCGCGUGAGUGAUGAAGGUCUUCGGAUCGUAAAACUCUGUUAUUAGGGAAGAACAUAUGUGUAAGUAACUGUGCACAUCUUGACGGUACCUAAUCAGAAAGCCACGGCUAACUACGUG